rnacentral:rRNA from 1 species
UGCGCAUCCUUACACAUGCAAGUCGAACGGCAGCACGGGGGCAACCCUGGUGGCGAGUGGCGAACGGGUGAGUAAUACAUCGGAACGUGUCCUGUAGUGGGGGAUAGCCCGGCGAAAGCCGGAUUAAUACCGCAUACGCUCUACGGAGGAAAGGGGGGGAUCUCAGGACCUCCCGCUACAGGGGCGGCCGAUGGCAGAUUAGCUAGUUGGUGGGGUAAAGGCCUACCAAGGCGACGAUCUGUAGCUGGUCUGAGAGGACGACCAGCCACACUGGGACUGAGACACGGCCCAGACUCCUACGGGAGGCAGCAGUGGGGAAUUUUGGACAAUGGGCGAAAGCCUGAUCCAGCAAUGCCGCGUGUGUGAAGAAGGCCUUCGGGUUGUAAAGCACUUUUGUCCGGAAAGAAAACCUCCGCCCUAAUAUGGUGGGGGGAUGACGGUACCGGAAGAAUAAGCACCGGCUAACUACGUGCCAGCAGCCGCGGUAAUACGUAGGGUGCAAGCGUUAAUCGGAAUUACUGGGCGUAAAGCGUGCGCAGGCGGUCCGCUAAGACAGAUGUGAAAUCCCCGGGCUUAACCUGGGAACUGCAUUUGUGACUGGCGGGCUAGAGUAUGGCAGAGGGGGGUAGAAUUCCACGUGUAGCAGUGAAAUGCGUAGAGAUGUGGAGGAAUACCGAUGGCGAAGGCAGCCCCCUGGGCCAAUACUGACGCUCAUGCACGAAAGCGUGGGGAGCAAACAGGAUUAGAUACCCUGGUAGUCCACGCCCUAAACGAUGUCAACUAGUUGUUGGGGAUUCAUUUCCUUAGUAACGUAGCUAACGCGUGAAGUGACCGCCUG